rnacentral:rRNA from 1 species
AUUGAACGCUGGCGGCAUGCUUUACACAUGCAAGUCGAACGGCAGCACGGGUGCUUGCACCUGGUGGCGAGUGGCGAACGGGUGAGUAAUGCAUCGGAACGUGCCCAUGAGUGGGGGAUAGCCCGGCGAAAGCCGGAUUAAUACCGCAUACGCCCUUAGGGGGAAAGGCGGGGAGUCUUCGGACCUCGCGCUAUUGGAGCGGCCGAUGUCGGAUUAGCUAGUAGGUGAGGUAAAGGCUCACCUAGGCGACGAUCCGUAGCUGGUCUGAGAGGAUAGAUCACGCCACACGUGGGACGUGAGACGACCGGCCCA